rnacentral:rRNA from 1 species
GAUGAACGCUAGCUACAGGCUUAACACAUGCAAGUCGAGGGGAAACGACAUCGAAAGCUUGCUUUUGAUGGGCGUCGACCGGCGCACGGGUGAGUAACGCGUAUCCAACCUGCCCACCACUUGGGGAUAACCUUGCGAAAGUAAGACUAAUACCCAAUGAUAUCCCACGAAGGCAUCCGAAUGGGAUUAAAGAUUUAUCGGUGAUGGAUGGGGAUGCGUCUGAUUAGCUUGUUGGCGGGGUAACGGCCCACCAAGGCGACGAUCAGUAGGGGUUCUGAGAGGAAGGUCCCCCACAUUGGAACUGAGACACGGUCCAAACUCCUACGGGAGGCAGCAGUGAGGAAUAUUGGUCAAUGGGCGAGAGCCUGAACCAGCCAAGUAGCGUGCAGGAAGACGGCCCUAUGGGUUGUAAACUGCUUUUAUAGGGGAAUAAAGUGAGCCACGUGUGGUUUUUUGCAUGUACCCUAUGAAUAAGGACCGGCUAAUUCCGUG